UACGUAGGGUGCGAGCGUUGUCCGGAAUUAUUGGGCGUAAAGAGCUCGUAGGCGGUGUGUCACGUCGUUCGUGAAAACCUGCAGCUUAACUGUGGGCUUGCGGUCGAUACGGGCAUCACUGGAGUUCGGCAGGGGAGACUGGAAUUCCUGGUGUAGCGGUGAAAUGCGCAGAUAUCAGGAGGAACACCGGUGGCGAAGGCGGGUCUCUGGGCCGAUACGUG
rnacentral:rRNA from 1 species